GAUGAACGCUAGCGGGAGGCCUAACACAUGCAAGCCGAGCGGUAGAGAUUCUUCGGGAUCUUGAGAGCGGCGUACGGGUGCGGAACACGUGUGCAACCUGCCUUUAUCAGGGGGAUAACCUUUCGAAAGGAAGAUUAAUACCCCAUAAUAUAUUGAUUGGCAUCAAUUAAUAUUGAAAACUCCGGUGGAUAGAGAUGGGCACGCGCAAGAUUAGAUAGUUGGUAGGGUAACGGCCUACCAAGUCAAUGAUCUUUAGGGGGCCUGAGAGGGUGAUCCCCCACACUGGUACUGAGACACGGACCAGACUCCUACGGGAGGCAGCAGUGAGGAAUAUUGGACAAUGGGUGAGAGCCUGAUCCAGCCAUCCCGCGUGAAGGACGACGGCCCUAUGGGUUGUAAACUUCUUUUGUAUAGGGAUAAACCUUUCCACGUGUGGAAAGUUGAAGGUACUAUACGAAUAAGCACCGGCUAACUCCGUGCCAGCAGCCGCCGUAA
rnacentral:rRNA from 1 species